GUUUUCACCGGAAGCCUUUCCCGGAGCUGUUGGGUGGAGGCCACUGAUUUUUCUCCUGUGUCUGACAGAGUUUACAAGUUACCGUCUAAAGGUGUCUGUCUUGCAUGGGAGAUAAGAAAGCAUGGUUUUGAUGAAAAAUAAGGAUGAGUGGCAGAAGAUCAAUUAGGAAGCUGCUGCAUUUGUCCAUGAGAAGAGAUGAAGAUUUGGAUGUGAUUGAAAGCACUGGGACACAGAUAAGUACAAUGGAGGGGAAAAAACAUAAAAUUAAUAAAAACAGAGAAAGGCAAGGAAAAUAAAUCUUACAUAUUUCUGUAAGGGUGAAAAAGGAACUAUCUGCUUACCGCAUAUGAUAAAGGAUCAUGGCAAAUAGCCCUAUAACAAAAGAUAGGUUAACAAGAGAAAAGCAUCACUCACUUACUUGAUUUGCUUUUGAACUGGGGAUCAAACCCAGGGCCUCAUGCAUGCUAAGCAUGCACUCUACCACUGAGCUAUACCUCUAGCCCCAUUAUGUAUUUAUUAAUAUGCAUAAGUAUGGGAGUCAUAUAAAAUGCAAAACUCUCGAGUUCUAUCCCUGGUACCCCCCAAAAAAUACAAAAUUCAAAGGCAGGGCCCUAUGGUUGAAGGUUAACUUCUCUUCUUCAUAAGGGAGAGGGAAGUGGAGCCCGUUGGCAAUUUUAGAAGGGUGGCACAUAAUUUCUAGAAGAAAUAAAUGCAUCCUGAAAACACACAGUACCCUGAGACAAAAUUCCUCUGGGCUCUGGGUGCUGGGUUUUCUCUUUAGUCUCCUCCCCUAUAAUACACCUUUAGUUUUUCUUGGUUAAUAAAAUUUCAGUAAGAAGAUUGAAGACAAUUGUAUUCCUCUUUGGUCGAUCUGGUCUCUAGAUACAUAAAGGAACCUCAGGGCAACCUUGCCCUGUGUUUUGGAAGAGAAAGAGGAUCAGAGACAGAAGCAGGCAGCGAAACCACUGAGCUAAUUCCCCAGCCCUUUACCAGCUUUUUCUACCACCAGUUCUGUACUAUCUCCCAUCUCCUUGAGUCCCAACACCAAAGGAUCCCAGAGUUCUCUCAUGCUCUUCCUGCCAAGUGAAGCUAUGAGAAGUCAGCCUUAUAUAAUGGGAAAAGGGCCCUCAUCAGGACCAGACACUGCUGGAAACCUGAUCUCAGACUUCCAUUGUCCAGACCAGGGAGAAAUAAAUUUCUGUUGUUUACAAACCACCCAGUCUAUGGUACUUUGUUAUAACAGCCUGGAUGGACUAGGUGCCUCCUUACUUAAUAUUUUA